UACGGAGGAUCCAAGCGUUAUCCGGAUUUAUUGGGUUUAAAGGGUGCGUAGGCGGCUCAUUAAGUCAGGGGUGAAAGACGGUAGCUUAACUAUCGCAGUGCCUUUGAUACUGAUGAGCUUGAAUGUAGUUGAGGUAGGCGGAAUGUGACAAGUAGCGGUGAAAUGCAUAGAUAUGUCACAGAACACCGAUUGCGAAGGCAGCUGACGAAACUGUAACUGACGCUGAGGCACGAAAGCGUGGGGAUCAAACAGG
rnacentral:rRNA from 1 species